rnacentral:rRNA from 1 species
CACCGCGGUUAUACGAGAGGCCCAAAUUGAUGAAAAACGGCGUAAAGCGUGGUUAAGAAAAGAGAGAAAAUACGGCCGAACAGCUUCAAAGCAGUUAUACGCAUCCGAAGUCACGAAGAACAAUCACGAAAGUUGCCCUAAAACCUCUGAUUCCACGAAAGCCAUAAAA